CCUACGGGCGGCAGCAGUGAGGAAUAUUGGUCAAUGGACGAGAGUCUGAACCAGCCAAGUAGCGUGAAGGAUGACUGCCCUAUGGGCUGUAAACUUCUUUUAUAAAGGAAUAAAACGAGGCACGUGUGCCUUUUUGCAUGUACUUUAUGAAUAAGGAUCGGCUAACUCCGUGCCAGUAGCCGCGGUAAUACGGAGGAUCCGAGCGUUAUCCGGAUUGAUUGGGUUUAACGGGAGCGUAGAUGGGUUGUUAAGUCAGGUGUGAAAGUUUGCGGCUCAACCGUAAAAUUGCAAUUGAUACUGGCAGUCUUGAGUACAGUUGAGGUAGGCGGAAUUCGUGGUGUAGCGGUGAAAUGCUUAGAUAUCACGAAGAACCCCGGUUGCGAAGGCAGCUUACUAAACUGUGACUGACAUUGAUGCUCGAAAGUGUGGGUAUCAAACAGGAUUAGAUACCCGAGUAGUC
rnacentral:rRNA from 1 species